rnacentral:rRNA from 1 species
AACGAACGCUGGCGGCGUGGAUUAGGCAUGCAAGUCGAACGCGAAAGAGGGGGAAACCCCUCUAGUAGAGUGGCGAACGGGUGAGUAACGCGUGAAGAACCUGCCUUCAACAGGGGGAUAACACUCCCAACGGGGUGCUAAUACCGCAUGAGACCACGGGAUCGCAUGGUCCUGAGGUCAAAGGUGGCCUCUAUUUAUAAGCUACCGGUUGAAGAUGGCUUCGCGUCCCAUUAGCUAGUUGGCGGUGUAAAAGACCACCAAGGCGACGAUGGGUAGCUGGUCUGAGAGGAUGGUCAGCCGCACUGGGACUGAGAUACGGCCCAGACUCCUACGGGAGGCAGCAGUCGAGAGGCUUUGUCAAUGGGGGAAACCCUGAACAAGCGACGCCGCGUGGAGGAUGAAGGCCCUUGGGUUGUAAACUCCUUUUGCUAGGGAAGAAAUGCGAUCAGGUGAACAAUCUGGUCGUUUGACGGUACCUGGCGAAUAAGCUCCGGCUAACUCCGUG